rnacentral:rRNA from 1 species
GACGAACGCUGGCGGCGUGCCUAACACAUGCAAGUCGAGCGGAGUCGAUCGACGGAAGCCUUCGGGCGGAAGAUGGUUGACUUAGCGGCGGAUGGGGUGAGGUAACGCGUGGGCAACCUGCCUCGAAGACCGGGAUAACAGCCCGAAAGGGCUGCUAAUACCGGAUGUGGUCAAGGAUCCGCAUGGAUUUUGAUUAAAGGGGAAACCCGUUUCGAGAUGGGCCCGCGUCCUAUCAGCUAGUUGGUGAGGUAAAAAGCUCACCAAGGCGACGACGGGUAGCCGGCCUGAGAGGGUGACCGGCCACACUGGAACUGAGACACGGUCCAGACUCCUACGGGGGGCAGCAGUGGGGAAUCUUCCACAAUGGGCGAAAGCCUGAUGGAGCGACGCCGCGUGAGCGAAGAAGGCCUUCGGGUUGUAAAGCUCUGUCUGGAGGGACGAAGGAAGUGACGGUACCUCCGGAGGAAGCCACGGCUAACUACGUG